rnacentral:rRNA from 1 species
GGACCCGCACAAGCGGUGGAUGAUGUGGAUUAAUUCGAUGCAACGCGAAAAACCUUACCUACCCUUGACAUGGUCGGAAUCCUGCAGAGAUGUGGGAGUGCUCGAAAGAGAACCGGCGCACAGGUGCUGCAUGGCUGUCGUCAGCUCGUGUCGUGAGAUGUUGGGUUAAGUCCCGCAACGAGCGCAACCCUUGUCAUUAGUUGCUACGAAAGGGCACUCUAAUGAGACUGCCGGUGACAAACCGGAGGAAGGUGGGGAUGACGUCAAGUCCUCAUGGCCCUUAUGGGUAGGGCUUCACACGUCAUACAAUGGUACAUACAGAGGGCCGCCAACCCGCGAGGGGGAGCUAAUCCCAGAAAGUGUAUCGUAGUCCGGAUUGUAGUCUGCAACUCGACUGCAUGAAGUUGGAAUCGCUAGUAAUCGCGGAUCAGCAUGUCGCGGUGAAUACGUUCCCGGGUCUU